CGAAUUGGCCAAUGCAAAAUAAAAACAAACACAAAAAAAAACCAAAACAACAGCACUCGUUUGUUAAUCAUUUUAAGAAGCAUGAACAUGGGCCUAGUUUCUAGUUUAAGACUCCUUCUGUAUGUUUGUGUAUUACGUAAUUAACUAAUGACAAUACUACAAAACAGCAGAGAUGCAUUUUUUUUUAUAGAAAAAAGGAAAAGUCCCCGCAGAU
rnacentral:lncRNA from 1 species